rnacentral:rRNA from 1 species
AUUGAACGCUGGCGGCAGGCCUAACACAUGCAAGUCGAACGAGCGGCGGACGGGUGAGUAAUGUAUGGGAAACUGCCCGAUGGAGGGGGAUAACUACUGGAAACGGUAGCUAAUACCGCAUACCAUCGGAUGUACCCAGAUGGGAUUAGCUAGUAGGUGGGGUAAAGGCUCACCUAGGCGACGAUCCCUAGCUGGUCUGAGAGGAUGAUCAGCCACACUGGGACUGAGACACGGUCGAGACUCCUACGGGAGGCAGCAUGGGGGAAUAUUGCACAAUGGGCGAAAGCCUGAUGCAGCCAUGCCGCGUGUAUGAAGAAGGCCUUAGGGUUGUAAAGUACUUUCAGCGAGGAGGCGUUACUCGCAGAAGAAGCACCGGCUAACUCCGUGCCAGCCGCCGCGGUAAUUC